GCGGGCCUGGGCAGUGUUGACGAUGCGGAGCUACCCGAUCCGUCCGAAAUGGCAGAAGUGGAGGAGACACUGAAGCGACUUCAGAGCCAGAAGGGAGUGCAGGGAAUCAUCGUGGUGAACACAGAAGGCAUUCCUAUCAAGAGCACCAUGGACAACCCCACCACCACCCAGUACGCCAACCUCAUGCACAACUUCAUCCUGAAGGCCCGGAGCACCGUGCGUGAAAUUGACCCCCAGAAUGACCUCACUUUCCUUCGAAUUCGCUCUAAGAAAAAUGAAAUUAUGGUUGCGCCAGGUAAGAGGUCUUCCGUGUCCCCUCUUAGGAUCAGGCUAUCACUACUGCUUAUCAGGAAGGCUUAG